rnacentral:tRNA from 9 species
ACGGAAUGGAUCACGUCGAACAGAUCCAUGGCCUGUCGCGUCUUGUUGGUUUGCAGCGGACCGAUGAGGUGCAGUUCGACCCCGUCAUAUCGCGC